GAUGAACGCUGGCGGCGUGCCUAAUACAUGCAAGUAGAACGCUGAAGGAGGAGCUUGCUCUUCUGGAUGAGUUGCGAACGGGUGAGUAACGCGUAGGUAACCUGCCUGGUAGCGGGGGAUAACUAUUGGAAACGAUAGCUAAUACCGCAUGACAACAGUUAUUGCAUGAUAACUGUUUAAAAGGGGCAACUGCUCCACUACCAGAUGGACCUGCGUUGUAUUAGCUAGUUGGUGAGGUAACGGCUCACCAAGGCGACGAUACAUAGCCGACCUGAGAGGGUGAUCGGCCACACUGGGACUGAGACACGGCCCAGACUCCUACGGGAGGCAGCAGUAGGGAAUCUUCGGCAAUGGACGGAAGUCUGACCGAGCAACGCCGCGUGAGUGAAGAAGGUUUUCGGAUCGUAAAGCUCUGUUGUAAGAGAAGAACGCGUGUGAGAGUGGAAAGUUCACACUGUGACGGUAUCUUACCAGAAAGGGACGGCUAACUACGUG
rnacentral:rRNA from 1 species